rnacentral:lncRNA from 1 species
CAGCAUCUUAAAAUAUUUAUUUUUUAAUUUUUUUAAAAAAAUUAGUAAAAAAUUUAAAAAUAUUAAUAAUAAAUAUUUUCAUUUAAAUUAAUAUCUUGAUUAAAUCAUUAAAAAUUUAUAAAAAAUAAUUAUAAUAUAGUAAAAUUUUAAUUUUGUUAAAAAAUAAAUAAAUUUAUGUUAUUUUUUUUGAAGAAAAGAGAUGGAAUUUUGAUCCAAUGGAC